GUUGUAUAGUUAAAAGACAUCAUAUAAAAAGAGAACGUAGUUUAAAUUAAUUGAGAUUGACUAAAGGAAAGGUGUACAAAGACACGUCAAAAACACCUUCUCUCAACUACAGAGGCUCUAGCCCCUAGUGUAUAAAUAAUUGCUGGUAAUCCUCUUGUUAAAGAGACAAAUUUGUUAAAAAUGUAAAAUUUUCAUGUUACCUCUGGGGUUGGUGGUGAAAUAAGUGAUGAGUGGAACAAAUGAAUUCCUAUUGUCGAAGUGGCAACAUGCCAGAAAAGGGUUUACUUUACGUGAAUACUAAAAACAUAAAGGUCAGAUGACAAAGAUGUUAUGGGGUCAGUUAAAAUGCAUAUUUGCAUUGUUUAUAUGUUAUGUAAUACAUGUACGUAACUUCCAGCAAGUUUUCAACCAUAGUUUAGCUAAAAAUGAGGUUUUUAUGACACAUAUUGAGUCCUCCCCGAACAUACCCGAAGCUCGAGACACCGGGGUGUGGUUACUCUAUCCACCGCAAGGGCUACCAGAAGUGACGUUGCAAUUGACAAACACAGCGCACUACACACUAUACGUAAUGGCGAGCAACGUGUUGGAAUAUGUGGAGGAGGAGGAUUUCGAAGUACAGGAACACCCAACUGAACUUGGCAUCGUCAACGCGUACAUGUUUGAGCCGAUCAGACAGUGACGACGACGAGCAGCCAAGUAGCAGCUGUGCAACAGAAAAAGAGAGUGGCGACAUCUACAUGUUCAGUCCUCAUCAAAACACAGAACUAUUGAUGCAGUAACAAAUUAAUAGAGGGGAAAGACACAAGGCAAAGACCACGGGCAUACAAAAGCCUUGAUGCUUAGUCGAACAUUAAGGAAGCAAAUUAAGUUUGCAUUGAUCAAUAGCGGCUACCUGAGGGAAGGAACCGGAAGAGGUCGUGACCAGGAUGACGAGGGUCCAAGAAGAUUUUGCAUGCCCUUGUCUUAGUUCUAACAGCAUGCAAGUCCUCAAGGGUAGGUAGGGGGUACCAACAAUUUUUCUGAAAGUUCUGAUUGUCCGUUGCAGUCAGCGUUUGUCUUUUUUUGUGGGAGCACCAAACCAGACUGUGAUGGAUGAACACAUGACUGAUUCGAUGACUGCUGUGUAGAACAGCCUCAACAGCUCCUGUGGUAGGCCGUGCUUCCUCAGAAGCCAUAGUCCUGAGAGACUGUAAUUCCCAGGAACUUGAAAGUCUUGACGGUUGACACAGGGCAGUUGGACACCGUCAGGCGUAGCUGUGGCGAAGAAUGCUUCCUGAAAUCCACGAUCAUCUCUACAGACUUGAGUGUGUUCAGCUCCAGGAGACAAAGGGACCCUCACCCUCAGACAUUACACUGCAACUGGCAGCUGUGGCCCAAUGGUUAAGCUCAUCACCUGCCACCGUGGGGGACCUAGGUUCAAGACCCUGACUGGAACAUCCGUCAAUAUCCCCCGGACUCACGGCUGUGGUGUCCUUGAGCAAGAUACCCCAAAAUGCUCCCCAGGUGCUUCAGCUGCCCCCUGCUCCAGUGUGUUGCACUAACAUCUGUAUGUGUUCACUGUGAUGGGUUAAAUGCAGAGGACAAAUUUCAUGUGCAUGCAUGCAUGCAUGUUCAUGACAAUAAAAGGUGAUUCUUCUUCUUCUUAACAGACAGCACAACUAUACUUUCAAGUACAGUGCCAGACUCAUGUUAGAAAAGCACAAUUAUGUGACUUUUUUUUGUGUGGUCACCUUCAGAACAAUACAGUGAGCGAAUAACCCCAGAUCCAAGUUUCUAAAGACACGUUAUGAAGGCAACAAAGUUUUUCAAGUCUGCAGAGUUGCCAGAACUGCUAGGUACACAUGGUACACAUGAAAUGCAGUGCUGAAUCUUGGUGCCACAUCUGAUCUGUAGGACUGUUUCCUCCAAAGGAAAAAAGAACAAAGGGAACAACUGUGUAAAAACUGUUGACCUAUUCAAUAUUAUGGGAAGAAUUUCAGCAGACCACAUUGUUCAGAAUAUUUAUUUGGCAAGGUUGCUUUACAAACAGCUCAGUUAUACAAAAUAUACUACAAAAUAAAUGUUUAAAAAGUGUAUUGUUUUUCCAUUGUCUACGAUGGAUGAAAAACAAGGUUUCCCUGACUGCUCAUGUCUAUUUCAUUAAUAGUCAAGCUAGAUAGCUUGGGCUAUUUGAAUAACCUUUUACAUGAACUAAUAUUCAUUUCAAUCUGAACUAUGGUUUUGCACAUAUUACUCAGAGCACAGCAAGUCAAAACAAUAUUGUCAAUAAAGCUGUCCUCCACUUUGCUAUUUUGUUCCACUCUGAGGCUUACAGGCAGGGUUGAGCCCAGAAUAAUAUAUUGAAUAAACCUGGCAUAUAGUCAGGUCGUAGGGGAUCAUUGCUCUUCCUUCCUUAAACACAACUAUCCAUCCAUCCAUCCAUUUUCUGAGCCGCUUCUCCUCACUAUGUUCGCCCAGCUAUCAUCAGGCAGGAGGCGGGGUACACCCUGAACUGGUUGCCAGCCAAUCGCAGGGCACAUAUAAACAAACAACCAUUUGCACUCACAUUCACACCUACGGGCAAUUUAGAGUUGUCAAUUAACCUACCAUGCAUGUUUUGGGGAUGUGGGAGGAAACCGGAGUGGCCGGAGAAAACCCACGCAGGCACGGGGAGAACAUAGAGGUGACAUAUGGUAUAUUGUUUAUAACAGAAUACUUUGGGUAAAGGUUAUUAAGGACAUUGGCUUUGAAACCAUUAACAUUUUUUAUACAGUCAAAAAGUAAUGCCGCUUCAGUAGGCUCAGUAAAUUAAGUAAGUGGCUCAAAGAAUUGUGUACUGCACUAUUCAUGAGUUUCAUUGAAAAGCGUGAGUUUUUGGGAGUGCAAACAUCUUUACGAGGGAGACGGUUUCUGUCUAAAUAGACAAGGGGUUAAGUUAUUGGCUGCCGACAUUUUUUACUGUGUACGUCAUUCAGCGGCCCGAAAGGAAAACAUUGGCCUUGUUGACAUGGCUGAAGGACAAAAAGAUGCAGUUGUUCCCAAACAAUCAGAGGAACAAGAGAUAAGGCAACAUGAAGUGCAGAUGGAUUCAUCCGCGUCACUCAACCAAUCGGAGGAACGAAUGAGAAAUGAGAUGAACCAGCACUUUGAAUCUCCUACACCCUUUCUUGCCCCUUUGGCGCAAAGCCCAAUCCAAAACUAUGGCAAUCAGGAAUUUUCCAUCCCUGUAAUUAGAAGGAACAGAAAGUUGGUCAAAGAAUUAUGGCACAAACAAAGUAGAACUACAAACUUGGUGAGGAUAAAAUGUGAGUCUAUCAGACUAUUGUCUCCGGUUAUCUCUAGCUUCAAUAUCAGGUCACUGGGUAACAAAACAAUAUUGAUUAAUGACACAAUUACAAUCUAUGAUCUGGACUUUUUGCUACUAAAUGAAACAUGGUUAACGGAAAGUAGCUGUAAUACCAUUUUAAAUGAGACAACACCAGCAAAUUAAACUUUUGUGUCGAAUAGGGAGAAACGGCGUUGGUAUUGCUGUUAUUUUUAAGUCAUUAUUUCAGUGUAAAGAAAUUAUACUGGGUGAUUUUAGCUCUUUUGAAUAUCUAUGUUUUUUAGUUAAAGGUGACCCGAAGGUGAUUGUUUUAAUAAUUUAUAGACCUCCAAGAUACAAAAGAAAAUGUAUGGAGGUUUUUUUUCAGAACUGCUGUCAGUUAUUUGUACUGACUACAACUAUUUUGCAAUAACGGAAGACUUCAACAUUCAUAUUGGCAAUAACAUGGGAAAAGAAAAAAAUCUAAAGAACUCUCUGCUAUACUAGACACAUUUGGCCUCUCUCAACAUAAGAGUCCAACCCACAUUCAAGGUCACAUCUUAGACCUGGUCAUCUCUAAAGAUGUUGACAUUAAGGAUAUGGGUAUUUCUGACCGUUUUUAUGUAUUUUUUUAAUUACAGAUUCUUCCAAAAGUCCAGACAACCUCUAUGCCUAUUAAGAAAAGGUACAUAGAUGAGAGUACCGCCACUAAAUUUAUGGAGACCAAAGCUGUGCCACAAACUGUGAGUCCUGAGACAGUUGAUGAACUUUUGGAUAACUUCACCUGGAAAUCUCAAAUGUCAUAAAUGCUGUUGCUCAGAUUAAAACUAAGACAAUCUUGAGGCGACCUAGAACACCGUGGAGGAGCACUAUGAUGGUAAAUACCGCUAAAUCAAAGUGUAGGAAAGCAGAAAGUAAGUGGAGAAAAAACAAAACUCCAAAUUGACUAUGACCGCUACAGACAAAGUCUUUGUAAUUUUAACCAAGAGUUAGUCAGGGCUAGACAGCAACACUUUUCUGAAAUCAUCAAUAAGAACUUCAACAAUACUCGCACCCUGUUUGCUGUGGUUAACAAGCUCACAAUCCCCCCGAAUCUGAUGGCUCCAGAACUCCUAACAGUGCAUAAAUGCAAUUAAUUUGCCUGUUAUUUUAGUGAAAAAAAUACAAUCCAUCAGAUUAAUUAUCAGCACAAAUCAGCAAAAUGAUAAAAUGAUACUACAUCUGAAGCGACGCAGGAAAAAAUAUUACCAUGUCAGAAUUUGAUACAGUUGACCAAAACAUCGUAGAUAAAACGGUUCAGCAGCUGAAACCAUCAACGAGCUGUCUUGACUCAAUACCAUCUGACUUUUUCAAAGCUAUUGUGAAGUCUGUGCUAGCUGAUUUGCAGCAAAUAAUCAAUUGCUCACUUCAGUCAGGCGAGUUUUCCAAAGCUCCAUUAAGCCUCUUCUAAAAAAUAGAACACUGGACACUUCAAAUCUCCCUUUCAUAGCAAAGAUUGUUGAGUUAUUUGUAAUCAACUCAGCAAUUUCUUGAACUUAAAUGGACUUUUUGACACAUUUUAAUCAGGUUUUUGAACUCAUCAGAGUAGGAAAUCUGCUCUUAUCAAAGUCCUAAAUUAUAUAAUGUUGAAUACUGACUCGGGAAAGGUGUCAAUUCUGGUCUUGUUGGAUCUCAGUGCGGCUUUUGAUACAGCAGAUCAUAAUAUACUAUACUGCUGAAUAGAAGAAGAAGACCAGCAGAAGCUCAUCCAUGCUUUUAUGUUAAGUAGACUUGAUUAUUGUAAUGGUCUUGUGACUGGACUCCCCAAAAAGAGGAUAAACAGCUGCAACUCAUUCAGAAUACUGCACCUCAGGUUCUGACCAGAACAAAGAAGUCAGAGCAUAUUACUCCAAUUCUAAAGUCUUUACACUGGCUCCUAGUCACCUGUAGAAUAAAUGUUAAAGUUCUGCUACUGGUCUAUCCAUCACUAAAUGGUUUAGGUCCUGAAUACAUGAAAGAAAUGCUUAUGGAAUAUAAACCCAGUAGGGCUCUGAGAUCGACAGACUCAGGUCAAAUAGUGGAGCACAGAGUCCAAAGCAAACAUGGUGAAGCAGCAUUUAGCUAUUAUGCUGCACACAAAUCGAAUAAGUUGCCAACAGAAUUGACACCAGCCCCAAGUGUAAAUGUUUUUAAGUCCAGGUUAAAAACUCUUCUUUUUUCUCAUGCUUUUUAAAGCAUUUUCACUUUUAAAUGAUAUUUCUUCCACUGUACGCUGUUUUAAUUGUACUUUUUUCUCUCUCUUUGUUUUAGAGGUUUAUAAGCAGUUUUUUUCUCUUUGUUUUUAAAUACUUUAAUCAUGUAAAGCACAUUGAGUUACCUUGUGUAUGAAAUGUGCUAUAUAAAUAAAUUUGCUUUGCUUUGGCUGUGUUCCCGGUCAAAAGUGACCAUGAAUAUUUUAAUUGUGUAGAAAAUAAAUGGGCGGCAUGGUGGGCGACUGGUUAGCACAUCUGUCUCACAGUUCUGAGGACCUGGGUUCAAAUCCCGCCCCCGCCUGUGGGGAGUUUGCAUGUUCUCCCCGGGCCUGCAUGGGUUUUCUCCGGGUACUCCGGUUUUCUCCCACAUCCUCAAAACAUGCAUUGUAGGUUGAUUGAAGACUCAAAAUUACCCGUAGGUGUGAAUGGGAGUGUGAAUGGUUGUUUGUUUAUAUGUGCCCUGCAACUGGCUGGCAACCAGUUAGGGGUGUAACCCGCUUUCUUGCCCGAAGAUAGCUGGGAUAGGCCUGCGAUACUAGUGAGGAUAAGCGGUACAGAAAAUGGAUGGAUGGAUAGAAAAUAAAUCAUCCACCACUUGAUAUUUUCACAAUAUUCCAAGAAUAUUGUCCUCAAACAUUAACAAACAACUCACAAUAACAUGAAAAUAACAACAAUAACAUGUUAACCCAUCAAUCAAAUGUUUUCCUCAUGCUUGUUUCUUCUCAUGGGUUAAGGUGAGGUAAUUUUUGGGGGGAGCAGUUCUACACCAAGAGUGCAUACUGUUGGAUUGUUCUAUUUUGUACUCAUGAAGCUAUGUUCCAUUAUCUAACAAUUAAGUUCCGUUUCCAAAACACUAGGGUAAUACAUGAUUAAGUUUUGUUAUCCAUGAGAAUAUGUAGGAGUUUAGAUUACUGAGGAAUGAUGGUUUUAGGAUGACUCCCCCUUUUCUGAUAACACCCAAGGCCAGAGGUACCUUCUGCCAAACAGAUAUAUCAAACCUUCUGCCAGAUAUAUCAAAACCUUCUGCUGAACAGUCAUAACGAAACCUUCUGAUGUGUAUAAAAGGAGUUAGCUCAAAUAAACGAGGGGUGUCAUUCAGUGAACCUGCACUCUGGUUGAUUGAAUGCACCCUGAAACUCA